CUUUAAUUUUAAUAUGAAGCAAGUACUAAUAUACUAAAGCAUAAAUUAUAUAAAAUUUGCUUUAUAUUUUGGAUUGCAAAGUAAUUGUUGUACUUUAUAGAAAAGUUUCCCAAAUCCAUUUUACUUUUUUGUAUUUGAAAUUUAAUCACAGGUGGAAUCUUAAAGAGAACAUUUAGGGAUAUUGUAAACAGAUGUUAUUAAGGACUAAUGUUAACUGAUGCCAAAGGACUACUAUUAACAAACAUUGAAGAAGAGAAAACAGUAUUUGUUUUUAGCUUAACAUCUUAGUGGAGCGAAAUAUUUUCAAUAUAUUUAUUUUAUUUAUUUAUUAAUUAUUUUUUUUUUGAGAUGGAGUCUGGCUGUAUUGUCCAGGCUGGAGUGCAGCGGUGCAAUCUCAGCUCACUGCAACCUCUGCCUCCUGGGUUCAAGCGAUUCUUGUGUCUCAGCCUCCCGAGUAGUUGGGAUUUACAAGUCAAUUUUUUUUUUUAACUAAAACUACAGAAUCUAUUUUUCUUGGUCUCAUACUCAGUUUUUUAUGUAGUCACUUAGUAAAUAAUGAACCUAAUUUGCUUGUUUUCUCCGCACUAAUUUUAGGGUGAAUUCCUCAUUUCGCUUUUCAGAUCAUGGGGUGAGGGGGAUGGUUGUGUGUGUGAGGAACUGAGGAAUCAGAUGGAAAACAAUGCCUCUGCUCCUUUGAGUAUAAUCAGUGAUAUUUGAGGUUCCAGGGUUAAAUGCCGCAUUUUUAUUUCUGACGUUCGUACCUUAAAAUAUUUGAAGAAAAUAAACUAUUUCAUUGUCAGAAAUGUAGUUCUUUUAUUUUCUUGCCCCUCUCCCCUUUCUAAGUUUCUAGAAUGUUGAGUAGGUAGAACAUAGAUGCUCCUUUUAGGAUCUUUUGCUGUGGAAUGGUCCACAGGUGAAUGGCAGUAAUAUCUUAAAAUGAUUGGCCCCUCUCUCUUUGUUUCCAUCAAGGAUACAGUUGAUAUAUUUGUUGGAUGGCAUAUAGAUCAUACUCAGAAACCUUCGCUCACGCAGCAGGUAUUUGGGUGGUCGCAGAGUUUGGAGCCAUUUUGGGUAGCUGAUCUUGCAUUUUCUACGACUCUUCUUGGUCAGUUUCUAGAAGACAUGGAAGCAUAUGCUGAGGACCUCAGCCAUGUGGCCUCUGGGGAAUCAGUGGAUGAAGACGUCCCUCCUCCAUCAGUGUCAUUACCAAAGCUGACUGCGCUUCUCCGGGUAUUUAGUACUGUGGUGAGGAGCAUUGGGGAACGCUUCAGCCCAAUUCGGGUCCUCCAAUUACUGAGGCAUACGUAACAGAUAUUCUGUACAGAGUAAUGAGAUGUGUGACGGCUGCAAACCAGGUGUUUUUUUCUGAGGCUGUGUUGACAGCUGCUAAUGAGUGUGUUGGUGUUUUGCUCAGCAGCUUGGAUCCUAGCAUGACUAUACAUUGUGACAUGGUCAUUACAUAUGGAUUAGACCAACUGGAGAAUUGCCAGACUUGUGGUACCGAUUAUAUCAUCUUAGUCUUGAAUUUACUCAUGCUGAUUGUUGAACAGAUAAAUACAAAAC
rnacentral:lncRNA from 1 species